rnacentral:rRNA from 1 species
GCAAGUCGAGCGCACCUUCGGGUGAGCGGCGGACGGGUUAGUAACGCGUGGGAACAUACCUUUCGGUAAGGAAUAGCCACUGGAAACGGUGAGUAAUACCUUAUACGCCCUAUGGGGGAAAGAUUUAUCGCCGAGAGAUUGGCCCGCGUUAGAUUAGAUAGUUGGUGGGGUAAUGGCCUACCAAGUCUACGAUCUAUAGCUGGUUUUAGAGGAUGAUC